rnacentral:rRNA from 2 species
UACGGGGGGGGCAAGCGUUGUUCGGAAUUACUGGGCGUAAAGGGCGCGUAGGCGGUUCGCUAAGUUGGAUGUGAAAACUCUGGGCUCAACCCAGAGCCUGCAUCCAAAACUGGCGGGCUAGAGUUCUGGAGGGGGUAGCGGAAUUCCUGGUGUAGCGGUGAAAUGCGUAGAUAUCAGGAGGAACACCGGUGGCGAAGGCGGGUCUCUGGGCCGAUACUGACGCUGAGGAGCGAAAGCGUGGGGAGCGAACAGG